UUCAUGGAGAGUUUGAUCCUGGCUCAGGACGAACGCUGGCGGCGUGCCUAAUACAUGCAAGUCGAGCGAACCGACGGGAGCUUGCUCCCUUAGGUUAGCGGCGGACGGGUGAGUAACACGUGGGUAACCUGCCUGUAAGACUGGGA
rnacentral:rRNA from 1 species